rnacentral:rRNA from 1 species
GAUGAACGCUGACAGAAUGCUUAACACAUGCAAGUCAACUGUGGCGGACGGGUGAGUAACGCGUAAAGAACUUGCCUCCCAGUUAGGGACAACAUUUGGAAACGAAUGCUAAUACCUGAUACUGUGAGAGAGCUUUGCGUCCCAUUAGCUAGUUGGAGAGGUAACGGCUAACCAAGGCGAUGAUGGGUAGCCGGCCUUAGAGGGUGAUCGGCCACAAGGGGACUGAGACACGGCCCUUACUUCUCCGGUAGGCAUCAGUGGGGAAUAUUGGACAAGGGACCAAAUGCUGAUCCAGCAAUUCUGUGUGCACGAUGAAGUUUUCUGAAUGUAAAGUGCUUUCAGUUGGGAAGCGGUACCAACAGAAGAAGUGACGGCUAAAUACGUGCCAGCCGCCGCGGUAAUAC